GACGAACGCUGGCGGCGUGCCUAAUACAUGCAAGUCGAGCGGACGGAUGGGAGCUUGCUCCCAGACCGUCAGCGGCGGACGGGUGAGUAACACGUGGGCAACCUGCCUGUAAGACUGGGAUAACUCCGGGAAACCGGGGCUAAUACCGGAUAACUCUUUCCCUCACCUGAGGGCAAGCUGAAAGAUGGCAUCUCGCUAUCACUUACAGAUGGGCCCGCGGCGCAUUAGCUAGUUGGUGAGGUAACGGCUCACCAAGGCGACGAUGCGUAGCCGACCUGAGAGGGUGAUCGGCCACACUGGGACUGAGACACGGCCCAGACUCCUACGGGAGGCAGCAGUAGGGAAUCUUCCGCAAUGGACGAAAGUCUGACGGAGCAACGCCGCGUGAGUGAUGAAGGUUUUCGGAUCGUAAAACUCUGUUGUCAGGGAAGAACAAGUACCGGAGUAACUGCCGGUACCUUGACGGUACCUGACCAGAAAGCCACGGCUAACUACGUG
rnacentral:rRNA from 1 species